GAUGAAGAACGCAGUGAAAUGCGAUACGUAAUGUGAAUUGCAGAAUUCAGUGAAUCAUCGAAUCUUUGAACGCAUAUUGCGCUCUUUGGUAUUCCGAAGAGCAUGCUUGUUUGAGUAUCAGUAAACACCUCAAAGCUUUUGGAUUUUUUAAUCGAAAAGCUUUGGACUUGAGCAAUCCCAACACCAAUCUUUUUGAGAUCGGUGGCGGGUUGCUUGAAAUGCAGGUGCAGCUGGACAUUCUCCUGAGCUAAAAGCAUAUUCAUUUAGUCCCGUCAAACGGAUUAUUACUUUUGCUGCAGCUAACAUAAAGGGAGUUUGACCGUAUUGGCUGACUGAUGCAGGAUUUCACAAGGGUCGGCAACGAUUCUUGUUAAACUCGAUCUCAAAUCAGGUAAGACUACCCGCUGAACUUAAGCAUAUCAAUAAGCGGAGGA
rnacentral:misc_RNA from 1 species